AUCGAUGAAGAACGCAGCGAAAUGCGAUAAGUAAUGUGAAUUGCAGAAUUCAGUGAAUCAUCGAAUCUUUGAACGCACAUUGCGCCCUCUGGUAUUCCGGGGGGCAUGCCUGUUCGAGCGUCAUUACAACCCUCAAGCUCUGCUUGGUAUUGGGCUUCACCCGUMAGGGYGGGCCUUAAAAUCAGUGGCGGUGCCAUUCGGCUUCAAGCGUAGUAAUUUUCUCGCUCUGGAGUACCGGUUGCGUGCCUGCCAGCAAACCCCAAAUUUUUUAAAGGUUGACCUCGGAUCAGGUAGGGAUACCCGCUGAACUUAAGCAUAUCAAUAAGCGGAGGAAAAGAAACCAACAGGGAUUACCUCAGUAACGGCGAGUGAAGCGGUAACAGCUCAAAUUUGAAAUCUGGCCUUCUGGUCCGAGUUGUAAUUUGUAGAGGAUGUUUCGAACGUGGUCCGGUCUAAGUUCCUUGGAACAGGACGUCAUAGAGGGUGAGAAUCCCGUAUGCGACUGGGUGCCUAAGUUCAUGUGAAACUCCUUCGACGAGUCGAGUUGUUUGGGAAUGCAGCUCAAAAUGGGUGGUAAAUUUCAUCUAAAGCUAAAUAUUGGCCAGAGACCGAUAGCGCACAAGUAGAGUGAUCGAAAGAUGAAAAGCACUUUGGAAAGAGAGUUAAACAGUACGUGAAAUUGUUGAAAGGGAAGCGCUUGCAACCAGACUUGCAUGCAGUUGAUCAUCCGAUGUUUUCACCGGUGCACUCGAUUGUAUUCAGGCCAGCAUCGGUUUUGGUGGUUGGAUAAAGGCCUUGGGAAUGUAGCUUCUUUCGGGGAGUGUUAUAGCCCUCGGUGCAAUGCAGCCUACCGGGACCGAGGACCGCGCUUCGGCUAGGAUGCUGGCGUAAUGGUUGUAAGCGACCCGUCUU
rnacentral:rRNA from 1 species